CCUACGGGAGGCAGCAGUGGGGAAUAUUGGGCAAUGGAGGAAACUCUGACCCAGCGACGCCGCGUGCGGGAUGAAGGCCUUCGGGUUGUAAACCGCUUUCAGUAGGGAAGAAGCGAAAGUGACGGUACCUACAAAAGAAGCACCGGCUAACUAUGUGCCAGCAGCCGCGGUAAUACAUAGGGUGCAAGCGUUGUCCGGAAUUAUUGGGCGUAAAGAGCUCGUAGGUCGUUUGUUACGUCGGAUGUGAAAACCUGAGGCUCAACCUCAGGCCUGCAUUCGAUACGGGCAAACUAGAGUUUGGUAGGGGAGACUGGAAUUCCUGGUGUAGCGGUGGAAUGCGCAGAUAUCAGGAGGAACACCAAUGGCGAAGGCAGGUCUCUGGGCCAAUACUGACACUGAGGAGCGAAAGUCUGGGGAGCGAACAGGAUUAGAUACCCUGGUAGUCCAGACCGUAAACGGUGGGCACUAGUUGUGGGAACCUUCCACGGUUUCUGCGACGCNGCUACGCAUAGUAGCCCGCCGUCGGGAGGUACGAGUCGCGAGAAGUUAAAACGUUAAAACGGUAAAGUUAGACGGUAACGUGUAGACGUUGUCCGAACGACGACGACGAGGGAGGAGG
rnacentral:rRNA from 1 species